AUUGAACGCUGGCGGCAUGCUUUACACAUGCAAGUCGAACGGCAGCGCGGGCUUCGGCCUGGCGGCGAGUGGCGAACGGGUGAGUAAUACAUCGGAACGUGCCCAGUAGUGGGGGAUAGCUCGGCGAAAGCCGGAUUAAUACCGCAUACGACCUGAGGGUGAAAGCGGGGGAUCUUCGGACCUCGCGCUAUUGGAGCGGCCGAUGGCAGAUUAGCUAGUUGGUGGGGUAAAGGCCUACCAAGGCGACGAUCUGUAGCUGGUCUGAGAGGACGAGCAGCCACACUGGGACUGAGACACGGCCCAGACUCCUACGGGAGGCAGCAGUGGGGAAUUUUGGACAAUGGGCGAAAGCCUGAUCCAGCAAUGCCGCGUGUGUGAUGAAGGCCUUCGGGUUGUAAAGCACUUUUGGCGGGAACGAAAAGGACUGUGCCAAUACCACGGUUCGAUGACGGUACCCGCAGAAUAAUCACCGGCUAACUACGUG
rnacentral:rRNA from 1 species